GUCUACGGCCAUACCACCCUGAACGCGCCCGAUCUCGUCUGAUCUCGAAAGCUAAGCAGGGUUGGGCCUGGUUAGUACUUGGAUGGGAGAGAUUAAAAACAGCCAAACAGUAUAUA
rnacentral:rRNA from 1 species